CAAAAGUAGAGACUGGCAGGCAAACGGCUCACAAAACCUCUCCGCCAGCUACUUCUUCAGAUCCCAGCUGGACUGCAGCCCACAAGCAUGUACAGGCUGGUCUGAAGGCAGAGGAAUUUAUAGCCCAGUCCUGAGGAGGCUUAAGAAAACGAAGAUUGGAAUAUUGGGGAUUACAUGAUUUCCAGCUGACUCCGUGUGGACGCCAACCCUUAUCCUUGCAAAAUUCAGAUAUCAGUGAAAAGUCACAGGACAGUUCAAGAUCCAUCCUUCUGUGGCCACAAAAAUCAUAAAAGAAUCGCCCCAAAUGGAUUCUUUUCCAGUUACUGCUUUAGAAGCUUUUCUCGUGUUAUACUCUCCAGCCCGUGGGAAAAAAUAAUAACACAUCUAUUGGAUUUUUUUCAUCAUGUUUACUUAAAGAGUGUGGCCGCAUAUGAUCCAGUCCUAUGGUGUGGGAUUUAAUGGGUAAGUGUCUUUGCAGGAACACUUACUGAUCUCAUUUUCUGUCCUUCCUGUGGAAAAGCUGGGACUACUCUGUAAGAAAUGGAGUACGAACUAUGCUUCAAAUUGCAGUGUGUAACAGAAGAAUUUCUUGAG
ensembl:lncRNA